GACGAACGCUGGCGGCGUGCCUAAUACAUGCAAGUCGAACGAGAGCGACCGGUGCUUGCACUGGUCAAUCUAGUGGCGCACGGGUGAGUAACACGUGGGUAACCUGCCCAUCAGAGGGGGAUAACAUCCGGAAACGGAUGCUAAAACCGCAUAGGUCUUCGAGCCGCAUGGCUUGAAGAGGAAAAGAGGCGCAAGCUUCUGCUGAUGGAUGGACCCGCGGUGCAUUAGCUAGUUGGUGAGGUAACGGCUCACAAAGGCCGUGAUGCGUAGCCGACCUGAGAGGGUGAUCGGCCACAUGGGGACUGAGACACGGCCCAAGCGCCUACGGGAGGCAGCAGUAGGGAAUCUUACGCAAUGGACGCAAGUAUGACGGAGCAACGGCGCGUGAGUGAAGAAGGUUUUCGGAUCGUAAAGCUCUGUUGUUAGAGAAGAACAAGUGCUAGAGUAAAUGUUAGCGGCUUGACGGUAUCUAACCAGAAAGCCACGGCUAACUACAUG
rnacentral:rRNA from 1 species